CGGGAUGUAGCGCAGCUUGGUUAGCGCGCCUGCUUUGGGAGCAGGAGGCCGCGGGUUCGAAUCCCGCCAUCCCGA
rnacentral:tRNA from 1 species